CUGUUGUGCUUGUCUGACUGUGUACCCAACCUAAUAGUUUGAGGGACAGACUGGUAUUUGCAUAAUUCUGCAGUAUGACAGGCGAACAGAUCACUGAAAACAUAAAUAUGGAAUGGCUUACAUUGAAAGCUCCUGUCCAACAUCUUGUCCGAGAUAGUGGCUUUCCUUGUUCAGCAUAGAAAUUUACACCCAAGAGAAGAUUAUAAGAACCAACAAAGUUCUACAACGGUCAGCAUGUUGUACAAGGAUCCAAAACUCUUGGAGGAGGAGGAUAAGAUAAGGAGGAGGACGACGAGGACAAGGAGGAGUCAAUCUCUCCCAGCAUGCAUUGCGGUAUCCCAAUAACAC